AUUGAAAUGGCUUAGUUGGAAAGAACUUAAGUAAUAAGUAAGAGGUGAAGAGUUCAAAUCUCAUUUUAAACG
rnacentral:tRNA from 1 species